UAAUACAGAGGGUGCAAGCGUUAAUCGGAAUUACUGGGCGUAAAGCGUGCGUAGACGGUUACAUAAGUCGGGUGUGAAAGCCCCGGGCUCAACCUGGGAAUUGCAUUCGAGACUGCGUAGCUAGGGUGCGGAAGAGGGAAGCGGAAUUUCCGGUGUAGCGGUGAAAUGCGUAGAUAUCGGAAGGAACACCAGUGGCGAAAGCGGCUUCCUGGUCCAGCACCGACGUUCAGGCACGAAAGCGUGGGGAGCAAACAGGAUUAGAUACCCUGGUAGUCCACGCCAUAAACGAUGAGAACUAGACGUUGAAGGGGUAAGCCCUCCAGUGUCGUAGCUAACGCGCUAAGUUCUCCGCCUGGGGAGUACGGCCGCAAGGUU
rnacentral:rRNA from 1 species